GAUGAAGAACGUAGCGAAAUGCGAUACGUAAUGUGAAUUGCAGAAUUCAGUGAAUCAUCGAGUCUUUGAACGCACAUUGCUCCCUCUGGUAUUCCGGGGGGCAUGCCUGUUCGAGCGUCAUUAUAACCACUCAAGCUCUCGCUUGGUAUUGGGGCUCGCGGUUCCGCGGCCCCUAAAAUCAGUGGCGGUGCCUGUCGGCUCUACGCGUAGUAAUACUCCUCGCGAUUGAGUCCGGUAGGUCUACUUGCCAGCAACCCCCAAGUUUUACAGGUUGAACUCGGAUCAGGUAGGGAUACCCGCUGAACUUAAGCAUAUCAAUAAGCGGAGGA
rnacentral:misc_RNA from 1 species